GGCCAGUUAGCUCAGUUGGUUAGAGCAUGGAGCUGAUAACACCAAGGUCAAGGGUUCGGUUCCCGUACCAGCCA